ensembl:lncRNA
CCUCGCUUCCCUCUUGGCGGACUUCCCCGCCCUUCCCUAAGCCUUUCCCGGCUCCUUCGGCCUGUUCACCUGCUGGCAAGAGCCGAGGGGCCGGCGCGGAGCUCUCACGGGCCCAGGGGCUGUCGCGUUGCUGGAGCCCGUAGUACGGGCGCCGCCCGCCUCCCUCGCCGGGGGACGCCCCUCCUCCCUCGCUGAGGCCCCACGGGGGUGGGGGUGUGAGGGGAAACUGAGGCCCGGCCGGAGGCGCCGCCUCUGUGCCUGCUGGGAUGACGUAACCUCAGACCCAGGGGCGAGCAGCUGCGUGCUGGGAGCCCUCGCUUUUCUCAGAACCGGGCCAGGGCUGAAGAGCUAAAGGUCUCCCGGGAGCGGGAAUGAGCCUCUGCCCCGGUGCGUUUCCCUACAAGAGCCACCCGAAGUCCCCCUCCCACCAAUCGGUCCCCCGAGGCUGCUCGAUCCGGUCGCUCUAUACAAUAAGCCCCCUCCCGAGAGGCCAGUCCGGUGUCCGGGCGAUUCUCACUACGGGACCUGCUCUCCCCCGGCACCUGCCGCCCUGAGCCCGCCGGCCGCUGGCCGGCCCUGCCAGGAGCAGCAGAGGGAAGCCGAGGCGCGGCUGCACAGCGACGGCCUGUCCGCGGCCGCUCCGAGCGGCGCCCUGCUUGGUCGGGCCCAGAGCCGCCCGUUCUCCCUUCCAGAGGCUGCCAGGAAGCCCCAGCAGGGCCUGAGCCGCACGUGGAAGGGAGCCCGGAAUGGCCGGAGGAGCUACCAGGUGCACCACCCCGGUGUCCGUGGCUGAGGAGGAGGCGCCCAUAUCGUCGUGCAGUUGGGGGGGCCCAACGCUCGGCCCAUCAGAGCCACCCGCACAGAAAACGGAAGCAAUGGGAAGAAAGCGGAAUUUACUCCGUGGACUUCUGAGCCCCCUCAUCCAGGGCUGAGACGCGCUAGAGCGUGGCCCGGUAACUGGUGCGCGACCGUUUUAGUCCACUUCUCCUUACGGGGGUAAACUGAGGCACGGUUGGAGAGCUUUACGAUUUAACUGCCUUUCCUGCCGCCUGAAGGGAUGCGAUUUGCAUUCACAGCUGCUCUAACUCCCACCCCCACCUCAGGGGGCCGACGGACAGCUUGCCGGGAGUCCGCCACUGGAGGCUCCUAAGCACUGAUGGGGUUCCACCAAGAUCUCACCUGUGCCUCAUUUGGCUUCUGCUGAAUACGGCCUAGAAACUGGUCCCCGGGACUGCGGAGGCUCCUGAGCAUCAGGCUGCAGGUGCCCCCGCUCCCUCCCUCCUCCUGCCCUGACUGCCUGUGCCCUCCUGCCUGUCGGCAGCAUCACCCACCACCGUGGUCUCUGCUGCACCUGCUCUCCCCCCUUCCUUUCCGACCAGCCACGAGGGAUCCGUCCAGUCCGCUUCCUGUCACCCCGACGAGUGCCGAAUCUCUGGACCUCAUUAGUCCUCUGGCCGCAAGAAGCCAAGUUGUUCUAUAAAAGUGAUUUUAAAAAGUGAUUAUAAAAAAGUGAUAUAAAAAAAGUGAUUAUAAAAGGCUGAUUCCAGAAAGGCCUGGGAAGAUCGACGCCAGCUGAUGCUGAGUGAAACGAGCGGAACCAGGAACGCACUGUGACAGCAAGAGCAAGGAGCACAGUAACAACAUGAUCGAGUGGGACAGGCCCGGUUCUUCUCAGUGCUCAGUGACCCAAGGCAGUCCUUUUUUUCCCCUUUCUUCUGUUUUUUCCUCUCAUAAUUUUUCCCUUUUGUUCUGAUUUUUCUCUCACAACAUGCUUCAUAGGCAAAUGUUUUUGUUUUGUUUUUUUAAUGAAUGUACUAGCUGUGUGAUCCUGGGCAAGUCACUUAACCCCAAUUGCCUCAGCAAAAAAAAAAAAAAAAAUGCAUAUAAAAUUAGAAAAAACUUUUUAAAAAAGAAGCCAUGUUGCAGUGGAAGAAGCUACCACGUUUCAAGUUAGAGGGAGUAGGUCCAAAUCCUAGCUCAGCUCCUGGAUUUUGCUUCUUUUACAGAUGGUCCAGAAGGUUCUGGAGCUACAGAGGGGUUGGGGAGGGGUUCUCCCCCUCGGGAUUAGCGGGAAGUAAAUCGGGCGCUAAAUAACAAAGGGUUGGGACCCGCAGACCAGAGUCUGCCUCAGCAUCUCCUCCUGGCGGGACCUUGGCUUUCUGCCCCGGAAGCCGGCCCCUGCGCCUCUCUGGCCUCUCCCAGCCCUGCUCUUCUUCAGUUUUUAUAAGAAACUGGACUUUGGUCCCACUCUCUGUCAUCCCCCUCUGCGGGAGCCUGGACCAGGCCGAGCUUCCCAGGGAGCCUCAGCCCCCGGGGCUGCAGAAUGGGGGUGGGGAUGGCCUGAGCCAGCCUCCAAGGGAGGGGACUGAGAGGCGCAGGAAGGGCAUGGGGAGCGCCCACUCCCCCGCUUGGCGGAGGGAGUUGAGGGGAGUGACUGAGGAG